AUUGAACGCUGGCGGCAGGCCUAACACAUGCAAGUCGAACGGUAACAGGCCGCAAGGUGCUGACGAGUGGCGAACGGGUGAGUAAUGCAUCGGAACGUGCCCAGUCGUGGGGGAUAACGCAGCGAAAGCUGUGCUAAUACCGCAUACGAUCUAUGGAUGAAAGCGGGGGACCGUAAGGCCUCGCGCGAUUGGAGCGGCCGAUGUCAGAUUAGGUAGGUGGUGGGGUAAAGGCCUACCAAGCCGACGCUCUGUAGCUGGUCUGAGAGGACGACCAGCCACACUGGGACUGAGACACGGCCCAGACUCCUACGGGAGGCAGCAGUGGGGAAUUUUGGACAAUGGGCGCAAGCCUGAUCCAGCAAUGCCGCGUGCAGGAAGAAGGCCUUCGGGUUGUAAACUGCUUUUGUACGGAACGAAACGGUCUGGGUUAAUACCCUGGGCUAAUGACGGUACCGUAAGAAUAAGCACCGGCUAACUACGUGCCAGCAGCCGCAGUAAGAC
rnacentral:rRNA from 1 species